rnacentral:rRNA from 1 species
GCACAAGCGGUGGAUGAUGUGGUUUAAUUCGAUGCAACGCGAAAACCUUACCCACCUUUGACAUGUACGGAAUCCUUUAGAGAUAGAGGAGUGCUCGAAAGAGAACCGUAACACAGGUGCUGCAUGGCUGUCGUCAGCUCGUGUCGUGAGAUGUUGGGUUAAGUCCCGCAACGAGCGCAACCCUUAUCAUUAGUUGCUACGCAAGGGCACUCUAAUGAGACUGCCGGUGACAAACCGGAGGAAGGUGGGGAUGACGUCAAGUCCUCAUGGCCCUUAUGGGUAGGGCUUCACACGUCAUACAAUGGUCGGUACAGAGGGUUGCCAAGCCGCGAGGCGGAGCCAAUCCCACAAAGCCGAUCGUAGUCCGGAUUGUUCUCUGCAACUCGAGAGCAUGAAGUCGGAAUCGCUAGUAAUCGCAGGUCAGCAUACUGCGGUGAAUACGUUCCCGGGUCUU